rnacentral:tRNA from 1 species
AAGAUACUAGUAAAAUUCAUCAUUACAUCGCCUUGUCAAGGUGAAAUCGUGGGUUAAACUCCCGCGUGUCUUG